CUUAGAUUCACAUCAACAAUCAUCACCACCAUCACUUCUACCAACACUUUCAACAAACACCAACCUGCACCACGGAAUUAACAAAUGUAGAUCAAUACAACUGUAGAUUUACACUACCUACAAAUCCACACAGCACAAUCAUAGCCACCAUCGAAGGCGAUAGAUCGUAGUCGUGGUCCAUUGUAGCAGCUCCAAUUGGGACCAAAGCUUCACAUUCCAAUCCCAAUACGUUGCUGUUUUGAGAUGCCUAAAACGCUCUUGACUACUUGUGAGUUCGGGUCUGGAAACAACUUCAAAUUUUAGAAUUAUCAAGUUUACGUUCUAGACAAUUCAUUACUUCGACCUUAUGUGUGGAAUUAUACUAAUUAAAGUAACAAGUUACUUUUAAUUAGUUUUCUAGAUAAUUAAACAUACAAGUCCAUUUUUCCUAUGUUUGAAUGCCACAAUUGUAAUAAUAUGGAAAACAGUGAAUAAUGCACAAUUUGUUGACGGAGAAACCUAAUAUGGGAAAAAUUCCAGAACCAAGUCAAUUAUCUCUACUAUAGUCAAUCAGGGUUACAGUGUAAUUCCGGACUAGCAACUCCCUCUAGUUCUAGCUGUUGUAAUUCCUAUAAUCCCUAAGAUCUGUUGUCAUCCACACAACUACCAUCACCUCCAAUGCACUCCCACUACCACCUUCACCUCAAAUCCACAACCAUAAAUACUACAUUCACCUUAGAUUCACAACAACAAUCAUCACCACCAACACUUUCAACAAACACCAACCAGCACCACAGAAUUAACAAAUGUAGAUCAAUACAACUGCAGAUUUACACCACCUACAAAUCUACACACCACAAUCAUAGCCACCAUCGAAGGCGACAGAUUGUAGUCGUGGUCCAUUGCAGCAGCUCCAAUUGGGACCAAAGCUUCACAUUCCAAUCCCAAUAGGUUGCUGUUUUAGCACCACACAAGCUCAGCCACUUCAAAUUCUCCCAUUUUCAAAUCCAGAAGUAACAAAAAAUGCUUCAAUCAAUCUUCACCAUCCACACGGCCAUUGCUAGAAGAAGAAACAGUUGAAGAAGCUUGCCAAAAGUAUAGGAAUCGAUCAUUUUUUGGCAAAGCAAAGCAGGAUAGAGUAGUGAAGAAAUCUUUGAUAAGAAGACCGAAGUCAUUACCAAUUCGAAUCGGGUACGGGAGGGAGGGUUCGAUAGUUUACAAUCUUCGCCGCUACUUCUGCGAGUAGAGAUGAGCCAUCGCCACCAGCAUCUUCAUCGCUGCCAGUAUGCUGCUUUCUUCGUCAUGUUGCGAGCGAUGAUCGAUGAUACUUCGUCACACCGGAAAGGAAGAUGGUUGAGUGGGUGGGAGAGGGUGAUAAAGAGAGAGAGGAUAGAGAGAAGAAAGAGGUGGGAAAAUAUUUAGGGUUUAGAUUUGGGAAUGAAAUGGGGGUGGAGGAGGUGGUGGGUAUGUAGAUUAGGUUUAAUUAAAUUUUUAUUAAUCAUAAUUAUUAAAUUUAAUUAAUACAUGAUUUGUGAAAUGAAAAUUAAUCUCCC
rnacentral:lncRNA from 1 species